rnacentral:rRNA from 1 species
GAUGAACGCUGGCGGCGUGCCUAAUACAUGCAAGUCGAGCGAACAGAUGAGGAGCUUGCUCCUCUGACGUUAGCGGCGGACGGGUGAGUAACACGUGGAUAACCUACCUAUAAGACUGGGAUAACUUCGGGAAACCGGAGCUAAUACCGGAUAAUAUAUUGAACCGCAUGGUUCAAUAGUGAAAGACGGUUUUGCUGUCACUUAUAGAUGGAUCCGCGCCGCAUUAGCUAGUUGGUAAGGUAACGGCUUACCAAGGCAACGAUGCGUAGCCGACCUGAGAGGGGGAACCGCCAACCCUGAACUGAGGCACCGUCCCGACUUCUACGGGAGGGAAGCGUUGGGAAUCCUUCCGAAAGGGCGGAAGCCUUACGGGGCAAACGCGGGGGGGGUAUUAAGGUCCUCCGAUUCUAAAACCCUGGUAAUAGGGAAGAACAAAAGGGGUAGGAAACAUUGCCCGCCUUACCGGUACCAAACAGAAAGGCCCGGCUAAACUCGUG